AAAUUUAAAUACUUUUUAAAGUAUCAAUUGGAGGGCAAGUCUGGUGCCAGCAGCCGCGGUAAUUCCAGCUCCAAUAGCGUAUAUUAAAAUUGUUGCAGUUAAAAAGCUCGUAGUUGAAUUUUUGCUAGAAAUAACCGGUCUGCUUUUAUUUAUAAGAGUGGUAUCUUGGUGUGUUUUUAGCAAUAAUGUCCUUUGGAAUGUUUUUUACUUUAUUGUAGAAUGCAAUUUUGAGGAUUUUUACUUUGAGAAAAUUAGAGUGUUUCAAGCAGGCUAACGUUUUGAAUACUGCAGCAUGGAAUAAUAAAAUAGGAUUUUAGUUCUACGUUAUUGGUUUUAAGAACUAAAUUAAUGAUUGAUAGGAGCAGUUGGGGGCAUUUGUAUUUAACUGUCAGAGGUGAAAUUCUUAGAUUUGUUAAAGACACACUACUGCGAAAGCAUUUGCCAAAGAUGUUUUCAUUAAUCAAGAACGAAAGUUAGGGGAUCGAAGACGAUCAGAUACCGU
rnacentral:rRNA from 2 species